rnacentral:rRNA from 1 species
UACGAGGGGGGCAAGCGUUGUUCGGAAUUAUUGGGCGUAAAGGGUGCGUAGGCGGUUUGGUAAGUCUGAUGUGAAAUCUAUGGGCUCAACUCAUAGUCUGCAUCGGAAACUGCCGGGCUUGAGUAUGGGAGAGGUGAGUGGAAUUCCUGGUGUAGCGGUGAAAUGCGUAGAUAUCAGGAGGAACACCUGUGGCGAAGGCGGCUUCCUGGACCGGUUCUGACGCUGAGGCACGAAAGCGUGGGGAGCAAACAGG